rnacentral:rRNA from 4 species
GGUGAACUGCGGAAGGAUCAUUG